AUGGAGGCCAAGACGGGGAAUUCCGGCAUGCUGUACCACGAGCUGCAGGUGCGGCAGCUCUGCGGGCUCCAUGCCCUCAACGCGGCGCUGCAGGGGCCGUUCUUCAGCGAGGGGGACCUCCUGGAGAUCGCGGCGGACCUCGACGCCCGCGAGCGGGAGGUGAUGUACCGCGCCGGCGGCGUGGGGGCGGGGGAUUUCCUCGCCGAGGGCCAGGGAUCCCACAACGUCUCCGACAACGGGGACUUCGGCGUUGAGGUUUUGAAGAGGGCACUAGAGCGACCAGUUCUCAACCAGCCGAAGAAGAGAGAAAUAGAUGCGCUCAGCAAGGACACCACCAUGGAGGAACCUGGCUCCAGCAACUCUGAAGGGCCAGUUGAAGAAGGUUGUUAG
rnacentral:rRNA from 1 species